rnacentral:lncRNA from 1 species
AAGCUUGUGAGCAAUCGUCUCAUCAACCAGCCACUUUGCAUUUUUCACAGCUUCCCUCUGAAAAUAUAGAGGAAGAUCAAGUAUUAUUCAUGUCUCAACAUUAAAAGAAGAUUAAUCUCUCUUUAAUUUCAAUGAUUUUUUUACCUGAAAGGUUGAGUUUUUGGUGUAGCUGUAGGUGCCAUCUCCACCAUUCAUCGGAUGUGAUUCAGGCAUUGUGGCAGUGCUGUCGCUCAUCUCUCUUCUGUAUGUGCAAUGCCUCACGUUUUGGUACUUAUUUAUUCUCAUCAUCAUUCAUACUUUUCAAAUGUAACAUCAUGAAUUUUCACAACCUUAGUUUUGACAAUGAUCAAAAUUUGGGAUUGAAAUCUUGGAAAUUCAAAAUUUGCGACUUCAAGUAGUUUUACUAUCUUCAUAAAUCACGUGUGCUUUCUUUGACAAUUAUUUACAAGACAAGUCAGAGUAAAAAUGUGGGUUUUUUUCUUAUAUGAAAUGGUGUUUUAUUAGUUUCAACUCCACACAGAAUUUAGCAUGAAUAAAGCAAAUUAAGCAUAUUUAUUAUUGAAUUACUAGAAAUCACUGAUAACUAGUUGAAAAUUAUUUAUUUAUUAUACAUAUCACACAUAACAAGCACAAAAUUAAAUCAUUUGCGUUGAAGCACGUAGUAAGAUUGAAUUUUAUCCUUGUAAGCUCUUUCCAUCUUGUCGAAGACCUUGGGAAGUUGAUUUACCAGUAACUGAUCGAAUAUUUCAUCCACAAUUUCUUCUGAGAAGUGUUUGGAGAACAUUCCUUCCAUUGGAGCCCGGAUGUGCCUCACGUAUUCUUUCAUUUCAACAUGCACUGUAUCUUUUAGCCAAGGAGCUGGAUUUGUUAGUCCUAUUGCUUCAAUGUUGAAAUAGCCAUUCUUUUCCACUACAGCUGCAAAUUCUCCUGGAGGUGCUGCAUAUAUUGGCAAGUUGAAGGCAUCCACUUGCUCUUCACUUAUUGUUCCCUGUGACAAAAUAACAAUAGUAAUAAAUAAAUUAAGUGCACAAUAAAUUUUUAGCAUGCAACAUAAAGCAUAGGUCAUGCAUCCGAAUUAGGUUUUUGUACUCCAACCUUUUCAUGUAUAUGUUUAUUUCAAUGGUAAAAAACUCCUGCUAGUCAUAUGUAGGAUUUGUAGACGGCAUUUUUAUCACUAGUUUUAAAUCCGACAUAUAUAAACUCAAGACAGGUGAAUAUGAGUCUAUCGUCGACCAAAUUGCCCAAUUGAGAUAUAUACCUUUUUUGCCAUGUCAAG